CACGCACACACGCGCGGCAUAUCAAUAAGCGGAGGAAAAGAAACUAACUAAGGAUUCCCUUAGUAACGGCGAGUGAAGCGGGAAGAGCUCAAAUUUGAAAUCUUCAAGGUUCUACCUUGACGAAUUGUAGUUUAAAGAAGUGUUUUCUGUUUGAAGUUGGCUAAAAGUUCUUUGGAAUAGGACAUCAUAGAGGGUGAGAAUCCCGUAUUUGGAUCAUUCUUUCUAGCUGUGUGAUACACUUUCAACGAGUCGGAUUGUUUGGGAAUGCAGUCCAAAAUGGGUGGUAAAUUUCAUCUAAAGCUAAAUAUUGGCGAGAGACCGAUAGCGAACAAGUACCGUGUAGGGAAAGAUGAAAAGAACUUUGAAAAGAGAGUUAAACAGUACGUGAAAUUGUCAAAAGGGAAGCGUUUGACACCAGUGUUGUUUUUCCGAAAAUCAAUUACGAAUGUUUUGUUUUUGAGGAGUUAUGACUUCAUCGGCUUGCUUCUUUCUUUACGAAACUUUCUUAAUGCACUUUUCGGUUAACAAGUCAACAUCAAUUUCUUUUGUUGUAAAAGGGUAUGAGGAAGGUGGCUUUCUUUUCGGAGAAAGUGUUUAUAGCCUUGUAGCCUCUGCAAUCGGAGAGAUUGAGGUCUGCAGCGUAGAUCCUUCGGGGUUAGAUACGUUUGUGCUAAGUUAUAGCUUUUCAUAGACAACUUGUUGACUAUAUUUAGUCUUGUAGCUUACUCGCUUAUGCUAUUUUACCUACGCUUAGGAUGUUGAUAGUCACAGCGUGUAC
rnacentral:rRNA from 1 species